UCUUCAUUUCACACACUCUCUCACCGGUCAGAGAGGCGAGAGAGAGUGUAAAACGGAGAGA
rnacentral:pre_miRNA from 1 species